rnacentral:rRNA from 1 species
AGAGUUUGAUCAUGGCUCAGGAUAAACGCUGGCGGCGUGCCUAAUACAUGCAAGUUGUGCGGUAAGGCUUUGCACUAAGUACUUAAUUUUUUAAGUAUUUUGUGCAGAGUACACGAGCAGCGGACGGCUGAGUAACGCGUAGGAAUCUACCUUGAAGUGAGGGAUAAGCAUCAGAAAUGAUGUCUAAUACCGCAUGUGCUCCACGGAGUAAAGCUUCGGCGCUUUAAGAAGAGCCUGCGUAUGAUUAGCUAGUUGGUAAGGUAAUGGCUUACCAAGGCGAUGAUCAUUAGCUGGUCUGAGAGGAUGAUCAGCCAGACUGGGACUGAGAACGGCCCAGACUCCUACGGGAGGCAGCAGUAGGGAAUUUUCCACAAUGGGCGAAAGCCUGAUGGAGCAACGCCGCGUGCAGGAUGAAGGCCUUCGGGUUGUAAACUGCUUUUAUAUGUGAUGAUUAUGACAGUAGCAUAUGAAUAAGGAUCGGCUAACUCCGUGCCAGCAGCCGCGGUCAUACGGAGGAUUCAAGCGUUUAUCCGGAAUUACUGGGCGUAAAGAGUUGCGUAGGUGGCAAAGUAAGCAAAUAGUAAAAGCGUACAGCUCAACUGUAUUUAUAUUAUUUGAACUGCUUAGCUAGAGGACGAGAGAGGUUAUUGGAAUUCCUAGUGUAGGAGUGAAAUCCGUAGAUAUUAGGAGGAACACCGAUGGCGUAGGCAGAUAACUGGCUCGUUCCUGACACUAAGGCACGAAAGCGUGGGGAGCAAACGGGAUUAGAUACUCCGGUAGUCCACGCUGUAAACUAUGAAUGCUAGCUGUUAAAGGUAUCGACCCCUUUAGUAGCGAAGCUAACGCGUUAAGCAUUCCGCCUGUGGAGUAC